GACGAACGCUGGCGGCGUGCCUAAUACAUGCAAGUCGAACGAAGCUGUUUUAACUGGUGCUUGCACCGACUUAAACAACUGAGUGGCGAACGGGUGAGUAACACGUGGGUAACCUGCCCCAAAGCGGGGGAUAACAUUUGGAAACAGAUGCUAAUACCGCAUAACCACAGAAACCACAUGGUUUCUGUGUCAAAGAUGGUUUCGGCUAUCACUUUGGGAUGGACCCGCGGCGUAUUAGCUAGUUGGUAAGGUAAUGGCUUACCAAGGCAAUGAUACGUAGCCGAACUGAGAGGUCGAUCGGCCACAUUGGGACUGAGACACGGCCCAAACUCCUACGGGAGGCAGCAGUAGGGAAUCUUCCACAAUGGACGAAAGUCUGAUGGAGCAACGCCGCGUGAGUGAAGAAGGUUUUCGGAUCGUAAAACUCUGUCGUCAGAGAAGAACGUGUGCGAGAGUAACUGUUCGUGCAGUGACGGUAUCUGGCCAGAAAGCCACGGCUAACUACGUGCCAGCCGCCGCGGUAA
rnacentral:rRNA from 1 species